rnacentral:lncRNA from 1 species
AUUAGAAGAUUUAAACAAUUAGUUUAUGAAUUUUCAGCGAUUAGACUAUUUAGAUUUAGAAAUUAGCCAUCAUAGAAAGCAAAAAUUAAAUUUGACAAAAAUGAUAAGAAUUAGUUGUAACUUCGAGCACCUAGAAAAUCAAUUUAAACAUAUUCCACACACUAGCAAUAGUCAGCAAAAUUUUAUAGUAAACUUAUUAAUCAACUUAGGACAACACCUAGAAGUUAAUAUUGAAAAGCUAAAAGAGCUAGUAUUAGGACUAGGAAAAUUCUUCGAAACUACUAAUAUUAAUACAUUAAGAAGAAAUUUAGAUUAUAUUAAAGAAUUAUUAGCAGACUUU